CAGCGUAGGGGGCAAGCGUUUGUCCGGAUUUAUUGGGCGUAAAGGGCUCGUAGGCGGUUCGACAAGUCGGGUGUGAAACCUCCAGCUCAACCUGGAGUCGCCGCUCGAAACUGUUGUGACUAGAGUCCGGGUAGGAGGAGCAUGGAAUUCCUGGUGUAGCGGUGAAAUGCGCAGAUAUCAGGAGGAACACCAUGCGAAGGCAGCUCGCUGGAACGUUACUGACGCUGAGACGCGAAAGCGUGGGGAGCGAACAGG
rnacentral:rRNA from 1 species